CUAUGAAGCUUAAGUUCGACAAAUACUGGGAUGAGUACAGCGACAUCCUUGCAAUUGCUGCAGUCUUGGAUCCAAGACUGAAAUUUGAGAUUUUAGAAUAUUGUUUCUCGGUUUUGGAUCAGUCUACUUGUAAGAGAAGGUUGGCUAAUGUUCGUUCAAAGAUCUAUAAGUUGUUUGGAGCUUACAAGAAAAGCCAGAGAAACAAUAGUGCUGCAACAACUUCACAAGGAGAAACACACGAUGUUCUAGCCGGUUAUGGGGGAUUCUACGCCUUCUUUUCUCAGAAAGCUGUUGGCAGUGGCAAGUCUGCUCUCGACAUAUAUCUGGAUGAGCCAUUGCUUGACUACGCCGCUCACAAGAAACUAAAUGUGUUACAUUACUGGAGAGACAAUUCGGCUCGGUUCAGAGAGUUAGCAACAAUGGCACGAGAGGUUUUGAGUAUACCCAUAACAACUGUGGCUUCAGAAUCUUCAUUUAGCAUAGGUAGUAGAGUGCUCAACAAGUAUAGGAGUUGUCUUCUACCCACUAAUGUCCAAGCCUUGGUCUGUACUAGAAACUGGUUAAAAGGGUUUCCAGCAAUGGGUGAUGAGAAGACAGAAGAGGAGAAAGAGGAAAAAGAGAAAGAGAAGGAAAAAGAGGAAGAGAGCGGAGAAUCCACAGACUUGACUAGAGAGAGUGGAGAGAAGGCAUAGCGGAAUAACAACUGAGAUGAUGGAUGGGAGUUACAACAACCGUUAGAGAUAUUCAGGCUGAGGACAAGUAGAGAAGCUGGAAGCUGAGAAGAAGUGAAUCAAUAAAUCAGAGAGUUAUAUUUUUUAUUUUACAUAAAAGUAUAAAACAGAGCUAUCAAAACCUUAAAAUUGUAUCCACAUUCGAGAGAUAAUUUGUAUUCAGAUUUUGAGAGAUAAUGAGUUCAAAACCUUAAAAUUGUAUCCACAUUUUUUUACAUCAAAUUUGUAUUAGAGGUGAACAAGUACAAAUUAAACAAUCAGCAGAUUUGAGAGAUAAUUUUUUUACAUUAAAUUGGGCUUAAACAGAGUUGCUAAUCAUGGGAAAGCUUGGGUUGGCCAUAUGGGUGUUGGGUUAAGUUGGGUGUGAGCUAGAGAGGGUGUGGGUUAGAUGUGGGUAUGGGUGUCUUGAGACCAGGAAAAACAAAUACCCAUUGGGCACCCCUGCUAACAUGGAGUUAGAAAAGCUAGAACAAGCCUACUAUAUUACUUAUCAUUAUGGGCUUAUAAUAGAAUACGUACAACCUAAAAGCCCAUACUUAAUUUGUACGGCCAUAUGUCGGCUUAUGAAUUAGGGUUUAGGAAGGUUAAUCUCUUCAUCACCUCAUAUAUAUAUACAUUCCUCAUCUUCUCUCUUCUUUUGUAUCAAAUCAAAACCUUCCUCUACGGCGCUUGUUUUCAAAAUUUUCGAAGAUUUUCUUCUUUUUUCGUUUUCUUCAGUUUUAUGGCUUUAAUCUUUUUUGAAAACGUGUGUUUGCAAUUAUUUGAUCUACAUAUUCUUUUGAAUGGAUCUUGAGUUAGUCCAUAGUGAUGAUUUAUUUGUCUGUGUAAAGCUUAGGUGCCUUUGUAAUUUUGCACGUUCUUCGAUACAUCUUCGAAGAUAGAUCUAUCAAUCGCUUAAAUCGAAUUUUUGAAAAUAUGUUAAUUGAUGGGUGAUGGUGAGGGUGAUGAAAAAAAUCAUUCGGAUUCCCAAUGAAUAAAAAAUGUGAUUAUUUACCAGCUACUUUUGACUCACCAUCAUCAAUCAAUCAAUUUCUCUGUUUUUGAUUAUUAAAAUUUUAUGAUUUUUUUAAUUAUUUGUUGUAUAAUCAAAAUAUAUUGGGUAUGGCCAGUGAUGUAUCAAAAUAUUUGCUACUCUUGAUGAAGAAAUUCACUUGAUGAUUCUUUAA